AUAAGGCUUGGCUCCAAGGCACUUUCGCAUCUUGGCCGCCCACCUCUGAGCACGUUCCAGCUUGUUGAAGAACGGAGCCAAAUAUGAUAUUGAGAAGCUAAGCUGCUUAAAGCAAGCAGUGAAAGGAUUAAGGGCACCCUUAAGGAGAGGCUCAGAUUGAGCCUUGAGAUCUCAAUGACUCAGUGUGGGAGGAGACAUUCUGUUGCCUGAGAUUCGUGGAGCACCAAGGGCUGGAAUACGUUCUGAGGUGCGUUAAGUACCGGUGGUUGAAUUGAAAUUAGACAACCCACACAAAUCAGGAGCAGGUGACAGUAGAUGGAGACCAGUUGAACCGGCACAAACCUCCCUGUGGAUUAUUGCAAAAGAUCAAUCACUCCACCCCAAACUGAAUUAGCAGCCACCUACCAGUUCUGGGAAGGAAAGGAGAAGCUGCGUACAUAAAGGAACCUGAGAUUCUUAGACCACUGGAACAUCACCAGGAGAAGGCAUUCAAGACAGAAUAAACAUCGCCACCUUGUAAAGGUGAACCCAGCAAGCUGCCAAGAUGUGCAACUUGAAUUUUGUUUGGACCAUACUGAAAUGUAUUUUUACGAUCGUAAAGUGGAUUUGUAACAAGGCCAAAGAACGGAUGAAGCCACACAAGCCGGCGAUUGAAAAAUCACCCAAGGCAGAGACUGAAAAACCACCCAAGCCAGCGACUGAAAAACCACCAAAGCCAGCGACUGAAAAACCACCCAAACCAGCAACUGGGAAACCACCCAAGCCAGCAACUGAAAAGCAAGACUAAAGAGGGAAUGACGGACCUCCACAGUCCCGUCUUCUCCAACACUGGCAGUAACAUCCCUCUGAUUGUCAAGGCACACCAUGUUAUUUUGUUAAUGCAAUAAAGCUUGUUUGGAGCCGAA